rnacentral:rRNA from 1 species
AUGCCAUUUGACAGAAGUAUCCUUCUCUGGCACAUCGCCAUAGACAUAUGCUUUCACCACCAGAGCACAACCCCUCGCGGCAGAGAGUGCGCCGCCCGGAGCAGGGUGAUAUCGAACUACAUGACAUACUUGCUCUCCAUUCGUCCAGAAAUGCUUAUACCCGGGUCCAGGAUUGGCAUCUUCACCAUUGCAUGUGAAGAUAUCGAGCUCAUGCUAGGCGACAAUUCUGCACUGCAUGACGAAAGAGGACUUGCGCAGGGAAUUCUUUCCAGGGCGCAGCAACCUUCUUUAUUAGAUAACACCAGCAUAAUAGGAACAGCAUGCAGGCUUGCUAAAAUGUUGAUGGAGCUACAAGAUGAACUGGAGAGGUGGGAGGUGGUCCAGGGGGUAUGGAUGGAGAUGUUGUGCUACUCUGCCAGCAGGUGCAGAGGAUACUUGCACGCCAAGAACAUGAGUGAAGUUACGGAGCUUCUCACCCGUGUAUGGUUCUUCUUAGUAUCCAUGGGGAUGGAGACAUUGGCCGACAGGUUUCAGAAGUCAGAGUAUCUCGAAACCAAGGAAGAAAACGCUGAAGAAGAUGAUAAUGAUGGUGAAAACAGAGUCGUCGUGGAGCGCAAGAUUAAUAUGCCCAUCUAA